rnacentral:sRNA from 1 species
GAGUGGCAGCAGACGCACCAGGUACGAGGAAAGCCUGAGGACCAGGGCGGUGGCCGAGGAUGCCCCCUCGACGCAUUAUUUCCUCCCUGUCGCAAGAGGGCGCUGCGUCCAGGCACUGAGAGGAAGAAAGAGGAGAACACGGGGAGUAGCAAGUCCGCGUGGUGGGUACAGGCACCUCGCUGGCGCUCUCCUCCCUCCUGUCCCUGCUGCUCUUUGCUGGGAUGCAGAUGUACAGCCGUCAGCUGGCCUCCACCGAGUGGCUCACCAUCCAGGGCGGCCUGCUUGGUUCGGGUCUCUUCGUGUUCUCGCUCACUGCCUUCAAUAAUCUGGAGAAUCUUGUCUUUGGCAAAGGAUUCCAAGCAAAGAUCUUCCCUGAGAUUCUCCUGUGCCUCCUGUUGGCUCUCUUUGCAUCUGGCCUCAUCCACCGAGUCUGUGUCACCACCUGCUUCAUCUUCUCCAUGAUUGGUCUGUACUACAUCAACAAGAUCUCCUCCACCCUGUACCAGGCAGCAGCUCCAGUCCUCACACCAGCCAAGGUCACAGGCAAGAGCAAGAAGAGAAACUGACCCUGAAUGUUCAAUAAAGUUGAUUCUUUGUA